CAAGCGUGGAUCAUGUUGUUAAUUCGAUGAUACGCGAAGAACCUUACCAGGUCUUGACAUCCCCGCAAUGCUAUGGAGACAUAGCGGAGGUAUUCGGGGAGACAGGUGGUGCAUGGUUGUCGUCAGCUCGUGUCGUGAGGAUGUUGGGUUAAGUCCCGCAACGAGCGCAACCCCUAUUGUUAGUUGCCAUCAUUCAGUUGGGCACUCUAGCGAGACUGCCGGUAAUAAACCGGAGGAAGGUGGGAUGACGUCAAAUCAUCAUGCCCCUUAUGACCUGGGCUACACACGUGCUACAAUGGUUGGUACAACGAGUUGCGAGUCGGUGACGGCGAGCUAAUCUCUUAAAGCCAAUCUCAGUUCGGAUUGGAGUCUGCAACUCGACUCCAUGAAGUUGGAAUCGCUAGUAAUCGCGGAUCAGCAUGCCGCGGUCGAAUACGUUCCCGGGCCUU
rnacentral:rRNA from 1 species